AACGCACGAGACCUGCGGACCUGCGGAGGGAUCAUUAAUGAGAAACUGCCCCUCGCGGGUGGAUCUCCCACCCUUUGUAAACUUACCUUUGUUGCUUUGGCAGGCCCGUCUCCGGACCGCCGGCUUCGGCUGGCCAGUGCCUGCCAGAGGAUUCUAAAACUCUGUCUGUCAGUGUUGUCUGAGUCUAUAUACAAUCGUUAAAACUUUCAACAACGGAUCUCUAGAUCGGAAGAGCACACG
rnacentral:misc_RNA from 1 species